CCUACGGGUGGCAGCAGUGGGGAAUAUUGCGCAAUGGAGGAAACCCUGACGCAGCAACGCCGCGUGAAGGAUGAAGGUCUUCGGAUUGUAAAGUUCUUUUCUAAGGGAAGAAGAAAGUGAUGGUUCCUUAGGAAUAAGCCUCGGCUAACUACGUGGCAGCAGCCGCGGUACUACGUGGGAGGCGAGCGUUAUCCGGAAUGACUGGGCGCAAAGGGCGCGUUGGUGGUAUGGCAAGUUAGUGGCGAAAUUCCAGGGCUCAACCUUGGAACUGCUACUGAAACUGUUGGACUUGAGUGCGGGAGAGGCAAGCGGAAUUCCUAGUGUAGCGGUAAAAUGCGUAGAUAUUAGGAGGAACACCAGUGGCGAAGGCGAGUUGCUAG
rnacentral:rRNA from 1 species